AGCUCCAAUAGCGUAUAUUAAAGUUGUUGCAGUUAGAACGCUCGUAGUCGGAUUUCGGGGCGGGCCUGCCGGUCUGCCGUUGGGUAUGCACUGGUGGGCGCGUCCUUCCUUCCGGAGACCGUGGCUACUCUUAACUGAGCGGUUGCGGGAGACGGAUCGUUUACUUUGAAAAAAUCAGAGUGUUUCAAGCAGACUCGCGUCUUUGCAUGGAUUAGCAUGGGAUAAUGAAAUAGGACUUUGGUGCUAUUUUGUUGGUUUCGAACACCGAAGUAAUGAUUAAAAGGGACAGUCAGGGGCACUCGUAUUCCGUCGAGAGAGGUGAAAUUCUCAGACCAACGGAAGACGAACUACUGCGAAAGCAUUUGCCAGGGAUGUUUUCA
rnacentral:rRNA from 1 species